GUGCUCAACUUGACAGCACAUAUACUAAAACUGGAAUGAUACAAAGAUUAGCAUGGCCCCUAGGCAAAAAUAACAUGCAAAUUCAGGAAGUGUUCCAUAUUUUU